CGCCUCCUGGCCAAUCUAUAGGAGGUCCAGCCUGCCCAGUGACCAUGUUCAACGGCCGCGGUAUCCUAACCGUGCGAAGGUAGCGUAAUCACUUGUUCUUUAAAUGAGGACUAGUAUGAACGGCAUCACGAAGGUUAUACUGUCUCCUUUUUCCAAUCAGUGAAACUAAUCUUCCCGUGAAGAAGCGGGAAUAAAACUAUAAGACGAGAAGACCCUAUGGAGCUUCAAACUCUCAACAACUAUCUUUUUUUAUAUAACUCUAAAGAAAAUAAUGAUUAUCUAGAUAGUAUGAUUGCCAGUUUUUGGUUGGGGUGACCACGGAGUAAAACACAACCUCCAAGAUGUAUAGGAUUCAUUCCUAAACAAAGAAUUACUAUUCAAAGUAUCAAAAAAUUGACAACAUUGACCCAAUAUUUUGAUCAACGAACCAAGUUACCCUAGGGAUAACAGCGCAAUCCAUCUAAAGAGUUCAUAUCGACAGAUGGGUUUACGACCUCGAUGUUGGAUCAGGGUAUCCCAGUGGUGCAGCCGCUACUAAAGGUUCGUUUGUUCAACGAUUUAAACCCUA
rnacentral:rRNA from 1 species